UACGUAGGGGGCAAGCGUUGUCCGGAUUCAUUGGGCGUAAAGAGCUCGUAGGCGGCCACUCAAGUCGAAUGUGAAACCUCGAGGCUUAACCUCGAGCCUGCAUUCGAUACUGGGCGGCUAGAGUCUGGUAGGGGGAUCUGGAAUUCCUGGUGUAGCGGUGGAAUGCGCAGAUAUCAGGAGGAACACCGGUGGCGAAGGCGGGUCUCUGGGCAGUAACUGACGCUGAGGAGCGAAAGCGUGGGGAGCGAACAGG
rnacentral:rRNA from 1 species